GGGAUUUGCCGCUUGCUGAUAUGAAAGUAGAAGUCUCCAGCGCACAAGAGCGGGCUGGACGCGAACCCGUCUUGGAAAAGGCGCGAGUGGCACAGCGGGUCCUACAGGCCGUCCCGGGAGGUGGGUGCCGCAGGCCGGCUGGCGCUGACCCGGCUGACACCGACACCGGUGCCGGCUGCUCUGCGCUCGCCGCGGCCAGCCGGAGGGGCCUGGCAGAGGUGAGGGGCUUUAGCUCAUGACGAGGGUGAGCACGAGUCCUCACGGCUGCAGCUGAACCACCGGUUUCCAUUUCCCUCGACGCUUUCUGCCUUGAGACCGUUACUACUGGUCAAGCACAGCCACUGCUUCACAAUUUCCAGCUGGACACGUUUUUCUUCCCCUCCAGAUUUAUUCUGGGCUAGGCACUCCGUGAAUUCAAGUGUGCGACGUCAGUUUGUAGGGUGGGGAUGACAGGGAGUGAGAGUUUACCUGCACUACCUCUAUAAAGCCUGUUAUUCACUACAGAGUGGUGGUCUAGGGAAUUCCUUGUUCAAAACAACUCCAUGACAACCUGAAGCUGACGUGGAAGAAGAAAAGAUUGCAAUUGCCUUUUGUAAUUUUUUCCCAGUCACGUAUACUGUCAAUAUAUGACUUUCUGUCUGCACAUUGGUUUAUCCUAGAGUCUGGAUUUUGAAAAAAAAAACACAGAUGUGUGCGUAUAUGCUCUUUCAUUAGAGAAGAAGAUGAAUACAAUCUUUAAAAGCAGUGUAAGACGCCCUUAAACUCUAUGAAAGGAAUUUUUCGCUGACAAUCUACCACGCGCUGUUAUGGAACUGCUCAGGCAGGAAUAAUAUCAGAUAGCGAUGCACUUUGCAGGCGGUGCUCUCUCUGCUGGAGAGAGGCGCCGAGGUGUAGCCACAACCAGCAGACAGCGCUUUGCGUGAGGAUGCUGCUGAGGGCUCUGCCCUGGGGCAGUUCCUACAGGUGCGUGGCAGGGGGACCUGGACUGUCUCCGGCACCUCCAACACAGUCACCUGUCAAAUACCCGCUCCAAGACGAGGAGCCCGACACUCAGGUGUUUUUCCAGCUGCCAGGCUACACUCUUAGACUUCCCAGUGUUUCCAUGUGAAACAACAGGGGUCUGUUUCGGUGUUGUGCAACAGCGCGUGACACCAUUAGUGACAUCUAUUUGGUUGCAGGUGUGUCUUUUCUUCGCUUUGGAUUCUUGUAAUUGUGUGGAAACCUUAGGUCCUGGGUUCGAUUCUGUGCUGCAGGGCUGUCUGUGUGGAGUUGCAUGGUCUCCUUACACUUAUAUAGCACUUUUCUGGACACUCCACUUAAAGCGCUUUAUAGGUAAUGGGGAUCCC
rnacentral:lncRNA from 1 species